UUCCGGUUGAUCCCGCCGGACCUGACUGCUAUCGGAUUGAUACUAAGCCAUGCGAGUCUUUGCAGUAAUGCAAGGCAUACGGCUCAGUAACACGUAGUCAACUUACCCUAUGGACGAGGAUAAUCUCGGGAAACUGAGCAUAAUACUCGAUAGAUCAUAAUGCCUGGAAUGGUUUAUGGUUGAAAUGAUUCGUCGCCAUAGGAUAGGACCGCGGCCUAUCAGCUUGUUGGUGAGGUAAUGGCCCACCAAGGCGAUUACAGGUACGGGCUCUGAGAGGAGAAGCCCGGAGAUGGGUACUGAGACAAUGACCCAGGCCCUAUGGGGCGCAGCAGGCGAGAAAACUUUGCAAUGUGCGAAAGCACGACAAGGUUAAUCCGAGUGAUUUCUGCUAAAGAAAUCUUUUGCAAGUCAUAAAACCACUAGUGAAUAAGGGGUGGGCAAGUUCUGGUGUCAGCCGCCGCGGUAAAACCAGCACCUCAAGUGGUCAGGAGGAUUAUUGGGCCUAAAGCAUCCGUAGCCGGCUCUGUAAGUUUUCGGUUAAAUCCAUGUGCUCAACGCAUGGGCUGUCGAAAAUACUGCAUAGCUAGGGAGUGGGAGAGGUAGACGGUACUCGGUAGGAAGGGGUAAAAUCCUUUGAUCUAUCGAUGACCACCUGUGGCGAAGGCGGUCUACCAGAACACGUUCGACGGUGAGGGAUGAAAGCUGGGGGAGCAAACCGGAUUAGAUACCCGGGUAGUCCCAGCUGUAAACGAUGCAGACUCGAUGAUGCAUUGGCAUAUAGCCAGUGCAGUGUCGCAGGGAAGCCGUUAAGUCUGCCGCCUGGGAAGUACGUACGCAAGUAUGAAACUUAAAGGAAUUGGCGGGGGAGCACCACAAGGGGUGAAGCCUGCGGUUCAAUUGGAUUCAACGCCGGG
rnacentral:rRNA from 1 species